GCCUCCUUAGCUCAGCUGGUAGAGCAACUGACUUGUAAUCAGUAGUAGGUCAUUGGUUCAUCCCGAUAGGAGGCUC
rnacentral:tRNA from 1 species